CGAUAGGCAAUGCGAAUUGCAGAAUUCCGCGAAUCAUCAGAUCUUUGAACGCAAAUGGCGUCAGAGGGAUAUCCUUCUGGCAUGUCUGUUUCAGUGUCUGAGAGGUUUACAAACAUCUUAAUGUGAUUGAAAUUCGUUGUUAGUUUACUAACUUACUCGUUUCUCUCAUGAAAGUUGCGUGAGUGGAUCUUUCGGUCCAAUGAAGUGGUCACAUCACUCGAAUGUGAUUUCAUUGGAAGCACCGAAUUAUCAACUAUACUCGCGGUAUCUUUAACCAAUGUAUUGAUUUAUCAAUGCUCUCUCUAUACCCUGCAUCUGAGAUAGGCAAGAUCACCCGCUGAACUUAA
rnacentral:rRNA from 1 species